CCUAUAUACGCACACAGGUGGGAGUUAGGUAUAGACUGCACUUGCGCACACAAGGUCUGCCAUCAAUCAAUAUAGCGCAUAUCAGCCCCGGGCGAAGCUACUCGAAUCUCGCUCACCGCCCCACCCGGCACUAAGAGCCGAGGAGCGGACCUUGUCGGACGGGAGCCCACUUCUGCAGUUCUAAGUAAACAAGUACACCUACUCAUCAUGUCGGUGGUGGCGCUGGGGAUGCGUCGCAAGGCAGGGAGCCUGUCUCCCACGAUGGACGUGGAGAUGUCGCAGAGGCCGGUCGACACCACGCUGUGGUGCGUCUGCGAGGUGUGCGGUCUCCGCAUCCACCCGCUGCUGCGCACCAACAACACCCCCAUUGAUGUCAAGAAGCCAUCGAACUAAAUGCUACGCGUUUAGACACAAUGUUCGCUAUAAUUUUCACUUCUCUCUUCGACCCCUAGAUUGUCCCAUGAAAUGAAUGAAUUACAUUAUAUCAACCUUCCUUAGAUGUCCUACUCUUUCAAUUAAACCCUCUUUAGUUC